rnacentral:rRNA from 1 species
CGGUUAUAUGCUUAUGCUAGAAGGCUAAGCCAUGCAGGUUAGUUCAAAGGCACGUAUAGGUAAACGCGAUACGCUUCAUUACAAAAGCUAUUAAUACUUGAUUUGGGAAAUAUCUAUGUCGUGGAUAGUCUGUGGUAAUUCUAAGAGCUAAUACAUGCAGUCACCAGGUCCGAUUUUCUGAUACGAGCGCAUCUAUUCAGACUUAACCAAUCGGGUUCGCCGUUAAUUGGGUGAACUUCUGAAUACUAAUAGUGCUGAUACGCAGUGGUCUCAACCGGCGACGUGUAUAUCAACGUGUCCUGCCUUAUCAACUGUCGAUGUGUAGUUAUUUGCCUAUCCAUGGGUUGUAACGGGUAACGGAAGAAUAAGGGUUCGCUCGGAGAGGGAGCUGAGAAUAGGCUUACCACAUCCAAGGGGAAGCAGCAGGCGCGCAAAUUACUCACUCUCGGAUGAGGAUGGUAGUAGACGAAAUAACGAGACGUUCUCUAUGAGCCGUUAUCGGACAUGGGUACAUUAACCCGUUUAGAGGGAACUAUGAGAGGCAUGUCUGGUGGCCAGCAGCCGGUAAUUCCAGCUCUCAACAGUGUAUAUCGUAUUGUGCGUUAAAAAAGCUCGUAGUUUGGAUCUGCCGCCUCAGGAUUGGUCCCCCACUGGGCGAGCAACUGGGCUCCUGGGCUAGUUCUGCUGGUUUAUCCCUACGUUGCAUUCAUCGGUCGCGUAGGGUGGCUAGCGAGUUUACUUGAAAAAUUAAGAGUGUUAACGCGGGCUUUGUUCGAAUAACUCGUGCAUGGAUAAUUAUGGAUAGGUAUCUCGGUUCUAUUCUGGUGUUUUGUUUUCUGAUUCGAGAUAAUGGUUAGAGUUGAGGGAGGACGGGGGCAAUUCGUAUCGCAUUGCGUGAAGAAGGUUGAGAUUCUUGGAUCGUAGUUCGAGAACUCCGACUGUCGAAAGAUUUGCCAAGAUGUCUUCAUUAAUCAGAACGAAAGUAGGAGGUUCAAAGGCGUAGUAUACUGCCCUAGUUUUUGAACGGUAACGAUACGACUACGGUUCCGUUCGGCGGUAAUAUGCUUGACGGGUACUUGCCGGAAACGAAAGGAAGCUCUUUCGGUUCCGUGGGGAAUGUAUGUUUGUCAACAGCUUGAACUUAAAAGAAUUGACGAAGGGCACCACACAGGAGUGGAGCCUGGGCUUAAUUUGACUCACCGGCGAAACUCACUGGCCGGACGUAAGGUUGACAGAUUGAGAGCUCUUUUUCUUGAUUCGGUGGUUGGUGGUUGGCAUGGCCGUUCUUAUGUUGGAGUGGAGUGAUUUUGUCUGGUUUAUUCCGAUAGAACUGAGCUGAGAUUCUAGCCCUAUUUAAAUUCAGUCAUGACGGUAAACAAGUCCGGAAGGACUUCUUAGAGGGGACAACGCGUAUAACCGCAUGGAAGUUGAGCAAACUAAAGGUCUGUGAUGCCCUUAAAUGUACCCGGGCUGACGCGCCGCUACAUGAGAAUCAGCGUGCUGUAACUCAGUCUUUGCUCGAAAGGUAUUGGUAUACCCUUGAAAAUCCUCCGUGAUCGGGAUCGGGAAUUGCAAUUUUCGCCUUGAAAGUCCGAGUGAUCCUAGUAAGUUGAUGAGUCAUCAGCUCACGUUUGAAUUACGUCCCUGCCCUUUAGGUACACAACCGCCCCGUGCGCGCCCGGGCACUGAGCCGUUUCGAGAAAGGCGGGGGACUGCUUUUCGAGACUUUCGAGGUGGAGAUUCUUUUGGUGGAAAACCGCACUAAUCGCAGUGGCUUUGGAACGGGCAAAAGUCGUAACAACGGUUUUCCGUCAGGGUGAAGAUC